UACGUAGGGUGCAAGCGUUAUUCGGAUUCACUGGGCGUAAAGGGUCCGCAGGGGGUUUGCCAAGUCUGAUGUGAAAGCCCGCCGCUCAACGGCGGAACGGCAUUGGAUACUGGUGAACUAGAGUGCACGAGGGGUGAACGGAAUUCCUGGUGUAGCGGUGGAAUGCGCAGAUAUCAGGAGGAACACCGAUGGCGAAGGCGGUUCACUGGCGUGCAACUGACCCUCAGGGACGAAAGCGUGGGUAG
rnacentral:rRNA from 1 species